GGCGACCGGCGAAUGGGUGAGUAACACGUAUGCAACUUACCUCUUAGUGGUGAAUAACUCGAUGAAAGUCGGACUAAUACACCAUACUCUCCUUAGAUCACAUGAGAAGAGGAGGAAAGAUUAAUCGCUAAGAGAUAGGCCUGCGUUCCAUUAGCUAGUUGGUAAGGUAACGGCUUACCAAGGCAACGAUGGAUAGGGGGACUGAGAGGUUGACCCCCCACAUUGACACUGAGAUACGGGUCAAACUCCUACGGGAGGCAGCAGUGAGGAAUAUUGGUCAAUGGGCGAGAGCCUGAACCAGCCAAGUCGCGUGAAGGAAGACUGCCCGCAAGGGUUGUAAACUUCUUUUGUAUGGGAUUAAAGUCGUCUACGUGUAGACGUUUGCAGUUACCAUACGAAUAAGCAUCGGCUAACUCCGUGCCAGCAG
rnacentral:rRNA from 1 species